CCUACGGGAGGCAGCAGUGAGGAAUAUUGGGCAAUGGGCGCGAGCCUGAACCAGCGAAGCAGCGUGAAGGAUGACUGCCCUACGGGUUGUAAACUUCUUUUAUAAAGGAAUAAAGUGAGGCACGUGUGCCUUGUUGUACGUACUUUAUGAAUAAGGAUCGGCUAACGCCGAGCCAGCAGCAGCGGUAAUACGGAGGAGCCAAGCGUUAUCCGGGUUGAUUGGGUUUAAAGGGAGCGUAGAUGGGUUGUUAAGUCAGGUGAGAAAGCUUGCGGCUCAACCUGAAAAUUGCUAUUGAUACUGGCAGCCUUGAGUGCAGUUGAGGUAGGCGGAAUUCGUGGUGUAGCGGUGAAAUGCGUAGAUAUCACGAGGAACACCGAUUGCGAAGGCAGCCUACUAGACUGCCACUGACAUUGAUGCUCGAAAGUGUGGGUAUCAAACAGGAUUAGAUACCCCGGUAGUC
rnacentral:rRNA from 1 species